rnacentral:lncRNA from 1 species
CACGGACCUUUGGUGUAGUGGAACCAGCAACGAAUAGAUCUGGAGACUUCUGGACACGAUCCAAGGCCCUUGACGAAAUCAGUCUGGUUGCUGUCUUCUUCGUCAGCCUUUCGUUCCAGAUGAAGAACACCUUUGAAACCACCUCUAAAAAAUUCAAGAUCUGGUACCCAACUAGAUCAGACCUGGACUGAGGUCUUCCAAUUUGUAGAUCUUUAAUCGGGGUGUUCUAGAUAGAGAAGAAGAUAGAUGGAGACAGACCUCGCAGAUCUGUCCUGCUGUAGCCUUUUUGUAGAUCUGUUGAUGGAGAUCUCACCCGUGCCUCAAACGACCUCAGAUCAACUCCAGAUCUGAGAGGGACUUAUACCAAUCUCUUCUCAAGAGAUUUUAAGUU